rnacentral:rRNA from 1 species
AACGCGAAGAACCUUACCUACCCUUGACAUGGUCGGAACCCUGCUGAAAGGUGGGGGUGCUCGAAAGAGAACCGGCGCACAGGUGCUGCAUGGCUGUCGUCAGCUCGUGUCGUGAGAUGUUGGGUUAAGUCCCGCAACGAGCGCAACCCUUGUCCUUAGUUGCUACGCAAGAGCACUCUAGGGAGACUGCCGGUGACAAACCGGAGGAAGGUGGGGAUGACGUCAAGUCCUCAUGGCCCUUAUGGGUAGGGCUUCACACGUCAUACAAUGGUCGGAACAGAGGGUUGCCAAGCCGCGAGGCGGAGCCAAUCCCAGAAAACCGAUCGUAGUCCGGAUCGCAGUCUGCAACUCGACUGCGUGAAGCUGGAAUCGCUAGUAAUCGCGGAUCAGCAUGCCGCGGUGAAAUACGUUCCC